GGGGCGGCACCCCGCCAUGUAAUUGACCCGACUGUACGGGAUUGGCGAGUCCGUAGCGGGCCAGUGGUGGCGGGAGAUUUCGGAAGUCUUGGCACCGGCCCUGGCUGCAGCGGUUGGGCUGGGCUGGGCUGAGCUGAGUUGAAGGCGCGAGUGGCUGAAUCGGGAAGGAGGACCCCCGAGGAUCCCCGAGCUUUCUGAUCGUGGCGUGCUGAGCUGUUGCCUUCUGUCCGAUCCCCGACCCGCAGACAGAGAUGGAGAGGCACAGGCCGCGGCUGCACCACCCGGCCCAGGGCUUCGCCGCCGGGGCCCCCUAUCCCUCCUCCGCCUCGCUCCGCAGCUGCCGGGAAAGCAAGAUGUCUCGCAGGAAGGGCCCUCAGCACCCUCCGCUGCUCGGCAGCCUCGAGGAGCCCGGGGGAGAAACGCUCCAAGUUUAUACCAAGAUAAGAGGUUUACAGGGACAUCCAGCUGCAUCCAGAAGUCUCCAGCCAUUGUCCUGAACCUGUAGUCACCUGGAUUCCAGGAAAGGCAGAGUUCUACAUGAUUGAGAUCACCACAGAGACAAUCCUUUCCUAGGAAUACCAUCCCUCAGCCUUAAAGAUUACAGAACUAUGACGCCAGGACUGAGAUAAUGAUCAGUGGGACCCCAGGUUUCAGUUAAUCCUUGAAAAACUGGCCUCCUGCCUUUGCAAGGCAGUGGGUGUGAACCCCAGGAUCAGACUACACCCCUUCUAGCUACUUAAGCUGGAAUCCUUUCCUCUCGUCUCUCUCAACUUUUCCAUUAAAG
rnacentral:lncRNA from 1 species